CCAGACUCCUACGGGAGGCAGCGGUGGGGAAUAUUGCACAAUGGGGGAAACCCUGAUGCAGCGACGCCGCGUGAAGGAAGAAGUAUUUCGGUAUGUAAACUUCUAUCAGCAGGGAAGAAAAUGACGGUACCUGACUAAGAAGCCCCGGCUAACUACGUGCCAGCAGCCGCGGUAAUACGUAGGGGGCAAGCGUUAUCCGGAUUUACUGGGUGUAAAGGGGGCGCAGACGGCAGCGCAAGCCAGGAGUGAAAGCCCGGGGCUCAACCCCGGGACUGCAUUUGGAACUGUGCUGCUAGAGUGUCGGAGAGGCAGGCGGAAUUCCUAGUGUAGCGGUGAAAUGCGUAGAUAUUAGGAGGAACACCAGUGGCGAAGGCGGCCUGCUGGACGAUGACUGACGUUGAGGCUCGAAAGCGUGGGGAGCAAACAGGAUUAGAUACCCUCGUA
rnacentral:rRNA from 1 species